rnacentral:rRNA from 1 species
GACGAACGCUGGCGGCGUGCUUAACACAUGCAAGUCGUACGGUAAGGCCCUUUCGGGGGUACACGAGUGGCGAACGGGUUAGUAACACGUGAGUAACCUGCCCACAACUUUGGGAUAACGCUAGGAAACUGGUGCUAAUACUGGAUAUGUUCUCCUGCUGCAUGGUGGGGGUUGGAAAGCUCCGGCGGUUGUGGAUGGACUCGCGGCCUAUCAGCUUGUUGGUGGGGUAGUGGCCUACCAAGGCGGCGACGGGUAGCCGGCCUGAGAGGGUGACCGGCCACAUUGGGACUGAGAUACGGCCCAGACUCCUACGGGAGGCAGCAGUGGGGAAUAUUGCACAAUGGGCGCAAGCCUGAUGCAGCAACGCCGCGUGCGGGAUGACGGCCUUCGGGUUGUAAACCGCUUUCAGCAGGGACGAAGCUUUUUGUGACGGUACCUGCAGAAGAAGCACCGGCUAACUACGUG